rnacentral:lncRNA from 1 species
GGCUUUCAGAGAAGACUUUUCGGCUGCUCUUCCUGGAAGACCCCACCCUGAUCAAUGAGGCUGCUGUCCCUCUGGAUGCUGCACAGACCCGCCCUUCUCAGCUCAACAGCGGGUUUGGCAGAGAAAGGACAUUUCCUUGGAAGAACAGAAGACCAUGCCCUGCAUGUGCUUCCAGGCAUGUGGGAUCAUAACUCUCCUACCAGGGAUCAAACCUGCACCCCUGAAUUGGAAGGUGAAGUCUUAACCACUGAACAGCCAGGGAAGUCCGUCUCUCCGUUUUUUGGAGUCCAGCGGCCUUGCACGGCAACCUGAGCAGACAGGAGUGUCAGGACCAUGUGGGAAGAGAGGCCACAUGCAGGGGGGCUGAGGUGCCCCAGCACAGGCCUGAGAUGGAAGCCUCAUGGAUAUUUCAGCCCAGCUGAGCUCCCAGCUGGAAAUCACCACGCUGAUGCCACAGGAAGGAGGGGAUACACCCAACUGACCUACAGACCGUUAGAACUCAUAAAUCAGUUAUUUCAAGCCACUGAGCUAUGGGGUGGUUUGUCACAUUGCAGCGAUAACCGAAACAGGUGGCCUUGUGGAUGCUCCAGGCCAGGAGCUGUUGACCACCGUGCUUUCUACUACUGA